rnacentral:misc_RNA from 1 species
GAUGAAGAACGUAGCGAAAUGCGAUAAGUAAUGUGAAUUGCAGAAUUCAGUGAAUCAUCGAAUCUUUGAACGCACAUUGCGCCCCUUGGUAUUCCGAGGGGCAUGCCUGUUCGAGCGUCAUUUCAACCCUCAAGCACAGCUUGGUCUUGGGCUUCGCCGCUAACCCGGCGGGUCUUAAAAUCAGUGGCGGUGCCGUCGGGCCCUGAGCGCAGUAAUCUCUCUCGCUAUAGGGUCCCGGCGGAUGCUGGCCAGUAACCCCCAAUUUUCUAUGGUUGACCUCGGAUCAGGUAGGGAUACCCGCUGAACUUAAGCAUAUCAUAAGCGGAGGA